UAGAGUACAUGUAAAAGUUGUAGUCAUAGAAUUAUUAAAAUAUUGUGAAUUCAUGGAUGGGCACUUUAUUUCUAAGCCCAAAUUACGUGAAGAAAACUGCGGCCUGCCAGGGAGGCAGGGCACGAAGGCAUGUGUUAGGACCUGAAAGAUAGUGAACAAUGCCUCUACAGGGCAAAACCAGAGGGAACCCAGGUGGAAGUCCAUACAGGUCCUGAUGUGCAAAUCAGUCAUCUGACUUGGGUAUAGGGGUAAAAGACUACUAGAACCAUCUAGUGGCGGGUUCCCUCCAGACAGCUGGUGUUCUUGCACCCUCAGUUUUAUCCUGUAAAGCAAAUGAUUGGAGGUCUUCAGGCAGAAACCAUCUCAACCUGCCCUCAAACUUUAACUGAGUCAGAAGCCCAGCUUGCUGGCUUGGGGCUGGGCAUGAAAUGAGAGUACCUAGUAGGGCACCUUUGGUGAGCAGAACUGGUGCUGCCACAUGAAUGAAACCACCCGGUUAAAGCUGCCGAUGCGGACACUCACAGACCCCACAAAAGUGCUGGGUUAUAUAGACAGCAGGACAGUGGCCAUAGAAGUCGGAAUUCACUAAGGAGUGUCUAACAACUCACCUGCCAAAUCAGCUACCUUGAAAAAUAGAUGGCCCUGGAGAGGCACUGGCAGUAGGCAGAGCAGGAAGAGUGGCAAGGAGGAAAGACCAAGAAAUCCGGGAGAGCCGGCUGCCCUCUAGGCUCUGUCCACCUCCUCUGCCCCCAUGGACGCUACUCCAAGACAAGUAGGAGGGCUGCUGGGAUGAGCCUUGAAGCCUAGUGCGCAGGCUGGGUGGAGCUGCCCCAGGUGCAGAU
rnacentral:ncRNA from 1 species